rnacentral:rRNA from 1 species
GGUUAAGCGACUAAGCGUACACGGUGGAUGCCCUGGCAGUCAGAGGCGAUGAAGGACGUGCUAAUCUGCGAUAAGCGCCGGUAAGGUGAUAUGAACCGUUAUAACCGGCGAUUUCCGAAUGGGGAAACCCAGUGUGAUUCGUCACACUAUCAUUAACUGAAUCCAUAGGUUAAUGAGGCGAACCG